rnacentral:rRNA from 1 species
UAGGGAAUCUUCCGCAAUGGACGCAAGUCUGACGGAGCAACGCCGCGUGAGUGAAGAAGGAUUUCGGUUCGUAAAACUCUGUUGUUAGAGAAGAACAGCGCAUAGAGUAACUGUUAUGCGUGUGACGGUAUCUAACCAGAAAGCCACGGCUAACUACGUGCCAGCAGCCGGGGUAAUACGUAGGUGGCAAGCGUUGUCCGGAUUUAUUGGGCGUAAAGCGAGCGCAGGCGGUCAAUUAAGUCUGAUGUGAAAGCCCCCGGCUCAACCGGGGAGGGUCAUUGGAAACUGGUUGACUUGAGUGCAGAAGAGGAGAGUGGAAUUCCAUGUGUAGCGGUGAAAUGCGUAGAUAUAUGGAGGAACACCAGUGGCGAAGGCGACUCUCUGGUCUGUAACUGACGCUGAGGCUCGAAAGCGUGGGUAGCAAACAGG